AACGCACAUUGCGCCCCCUGGUAUUCCGGGGGGCAUGCCUGUCCGAGCGUCAUUGCUGCCCUCAAGCCCGGCUUGUGUGUUGGGCCCUCGUCCCCCGGCUCCCGGGGGACGGGCCCGAAAGGCAGCGGCGGCACCGCGUCCGGUCCUCGAGCGUAUGGGGCUUCGUCUUCCGCUCCGUAGGCCCGGCCGGCGCCCGCCGACGCAUUUGUCUGCAACUUGUUUUUUUCCAGGUUGACCUCGGAUCAGGUAGGGAUACCCGCUGAACUUAA
rnacentral:misc_RNA from 1 species